rnacentral:rRNA from 1 species
GACGGAGGAUGCAAGUGUUAUCCGGAAUCACUGGGCGUAAAGCGUCUGUAGGUGGUUUAAAAAAGUCUGCUGUUAAAAAUUGAAGCUUAACUUCAAAGGUGCCGUAGAAACUUUUAAACUAGAGUAUGAUAGGGGUAGAGGGAAUUUCCAGUGGAGCGGUGAAAUGUGUAGAUAUUGGAAAGACCACCAAUGGCGAAGGCACUCUACUGGGCCAUUACUGACACUGAGAGACGAAAAGCUAGGGGGAGCAAAAUGGG